ACUUCUUUCGAGCAGGAAAACGAGAGGAUGGAGGCUAGCGAAGAAAGGGUAAUGCCGAAGAAGCCAACAAGGGCGCAGAUCAUGCAAAGAAAGAAAAGGAUCGAUCAGCUUCUCAGAUCAGCUUAUUCUCCCGAUAAAGACCAUCUUAUUGAGUUUUCACACUUCCGCCAUUACAAUACAACUGGUCUAUCUUUAGUCCUUGAGUCUGGACGUGGGGAUAAACUUUCAUCUAAUUUGAAGCAGUACAUCCAAAAGCUCCUUAAGGUCAAUAUGGAGGGGCCUUAUGGAGCAGAGUGGCCAGCAGAGGAAAAAGUGAAGCGCAAAGAAAUGUCAUCUUCUGAAGCACUAUAUAUUUUUGUACGAAAGGUUGCAAGCACCCCUGAUGAUGCGGAGGCAUCCAUAAUUGGAUUUGUACAAUAUAGAUUCACCAUUGAGGAGGAAAUACCUGUACUUUAUGUGUAUGAAUUGCAGCUUGAACCUACUUAUCAGGGGAAGGGAAUUGGAAAGUUCCUGAUGCAACUAGUUGAGCUAAUUGCAUGCAAGAACUGCAUGGGUGCCGUGGUACUCACUGUACAAAAAAGGAACUCUUCAGCAAUCAAUUUCUACUUGAAUAAGCUAAGGUACAAUGUAUCAACCAUUUCUCCUUCAAAAGUUUAUCAGCUGAUUGGAGUCAUUGGAGAAGAGAAGAGCUAUGAGAUUCUCUGUAAAACAUUUGACCAUGAAGCUAAAGUUGUUUUAGAGGAAUCAUGAAGUCUGGAUCAGUGUGGUCUUGGUUAACAAUGGAGAUUUUUACCUUUCGAUUGUCUGGCAUCUAAAGGGAUCAGAAGUCGGAAAUUUUGAAUCACGGGGCCGACAAAAAGAUUGGAACAUCCGUUAUGUGGCUCUUCAGCUUAUUUUGAAGUUGUUUUUGAGUCCAGUAUUUUCAUUAUUAUGUGGAAAAUACGAUGCCCUAACAUAUGCAUUUCAUUUCAUGUGGUUUUCACAUUCAUUUGGUUUGUUUCAAGAAAUAGAAAUGAGGGUGUUUGGUUUUUUUUUUUCAAGGAAGGAAAUGGGAAUGAAACUUUCCCUCUGAUUUGUUAAGGAAUGUUUCAUUAUCUGUUACCUGAUAUCUGGUAAUGACCAAUUCUAUUGUAUCAAAGUGGAUACCAUUAACGAUUUUUAUUACAGUUUCCGUUCACCGCCCCUUGUUACAUCAAACCAAGCACCAUGUAAAUGUAUAUUUGAACGACUGUUUGACCGAAUUUAUGAAGUGAUUGUAUAUAUUUUUU